AGACUGCUGUGGGAGCUGUGUGCUCGCUUGGGUUUUGGUUGUGGUUCCGGCUUUCUAUAAAGAAAUUCCAUUUUGCACUUGAAGCCUGGCUGGCAGGGGUGUGAGCUCCCAGCCCAUGGCACCUUUUUCAGCAGGCAGGAACAGAGAGGGAUCGUCCAAAAUUCAUAUUUCAGCAGGCUCUGCAGGCUGCAUGGAGCCAUCCAGUGGAGUGGAUCUGUAAGAGGCUGCAGAGUAAAAAGCAUCUCUGGCAUGGAAGAGAAAGAUCAAACCCCCUUGCCUGGUCCUGCCUGCAUCAAAUCCCAGCUGAUCCAGGCAGUGUGCUACAGACAUGGCAGCUCACAGUCUUAGAGGGUCAACUCUGCCCAUGAGCUGAGAAAGUAAAACCAACCAGGAGCAGCACAAACGUACAAAACACUCCAGUUUACUUCCAGCACCAUUCCCAGCAUGUCAGUUACACCUCUCCCAAACAGAAGACUUUUCCCAGUCCCACAGCAGUGCAGUUCAGUAGUCAAUGGGCUUAGAGCCAUUUCCCAUCUCAGCAAUGGAAGUGAUCUCUCAGCUUAUUGGAUCCCAAAGAGAGUUCCCAGCAGCAAAACAGAACAAGCUGCUUCCAGCAAGACACGAGGCAGCAGCGCUCUGCUGUGUGUCUCCCCACAGAGCCCAGCAGGCAGUGCUGGCUGCCCUGGCUCCUCUCAGAGUGGGGGUACCCCCCUGAAUUUUCGGAUGACGUUGGCCAGCCGCUUGGCCAGCCCGCCCCGGCUGGGCUCCUCCACGUGGAACGUUCUGGUCAGCA